rfam:Triticum aestivum genome assembly, contig: Triticum_aestivum_CS42_TGACv1_scaffold_037002_1BL
GUAGUAUUCCCUCAGUCUCAAAAUUCUUGUCUUACAUUUGUUUAGAUACGGAUGUAUCUAACACUAAAAUAUAACUAGAUACAUCCGUAUUUAGACAAAUUUAAGACAAGAAUUUUGGGACGGAGGGAGUACAAA